rnacentral:misc_RNA from 1 species
GAGAUUGAGAGGAGGAGGAAGAGGGUUGUUUUUUUUUUUCCAGAAAGGAGAGAAGUUAUGGGAAGUCGCAACUUGGGGGGUUGUGUUUGGUUUCUGCUGUACCUUUGGCUAUAAAAAGGUUGGUGGAGAGAGAAAUGACGGUGAUGAUUUGGACACUUUGCGAACGGUGACAGAACAUGCCACGUUGUUCAUUUAAGGUCUCAUAGGAGUGGGACAUCUUUUGCAAGAAACAACAUCUUCUUCGGCAAUGCUGCUGCUGCUUUUCUUUUUUAUUUUUUCUUUGAUAAAUUAUUCUUAACAUACCAUCGGAUCUCAUUGGCAUUCAUCAGAGGGAUUUUCU